rnacentral:rRNA from 1 species
UGGUCCCUACGGGGCGCAGCAGUGAGGAAUAUUGGUCAAUGGCCGCAGGGCUGAACCAGCCAAGUCGCGUGAGGGAUGACGGUCCUAUGGAUUGUAAACCUCUUUUGCCAGGGAGCAAAGGGCGCCACGUGUGGCGCUUUGCGAGUACCUGAAGAAAAAGCAUCGGCUAACUCCGUGCCAGCAGCCGCGGUAAUACGGAGGAUGCGAGCGUUAUCCGGAUUUAUUGGGUUUAAAGGGUGCGCAGGCGGAAUGUCAAGUCGGCGGUAAAAUUUCGGGGCUCAACCCCGUCGUGCCGU